rnacentral:rRNA from 1 species
GACAAACGCUGGCGGCGUGCUUAACACAUGCAAGUCGAACGGUACUCCUGCGGGAGUAUAGUGGCGGACGGGUGAGUAACACGUAGCUAAUCUACCCUGAUGUGGGGAAUAACCCCUCGAAAGAGGAGCUAAGACCGCAUAAGUUCUCUCUUGAUAGAGAGAGAAGAAACUUUGGCAGUGAAAAGCCAGAGGCGUUAGGAUGAGGCUGCGGCGGAUUAGCUAGAUGGGAGGGGUAAAAGCCUACCAUGGCGACGAUCCGUAGCUGGUCUGAGAGGACGACCAGCCACACUGGGACUGAGACACGGCCCAGACUCCGUACGGGA